rnacentral:rRNA from 1 species
AUGGAAAGUGUGUGUCUCGGGCCUCCAAUGAUCAAUAAGCGCGGUGAGUGCUGUAGCAUUGUUGGGUGGCGUCGACCGGCGGACCAACUGAAUGAAAGGGAGAAGUCCUGCCUCCCUUACAUACGGUGUGUACCGCUCAUCAUAGCACAUCCAUCCAAGGGUGACCCCGUGAGCCCGAAGCUUCAGAGGUGCAAGCUCCUACAAAAAAAACAUAACAUUACAUAUAGGGCAUUUGUGUUUGAAAAAAAAUACGAAUUCAUAACACCGGCCACUUUCAGUAUUACCUGCUGCUCCACCGACAUAGCGUACGACCGGUGUUGUUUGUCCCAAUGA